GGGUGUGCCCUUCAAAGGAAGGGGUUCUUCGAGGAAAGUCUCGAAAACAAGGCACUAAGGCUUACCGCGCUAGACUGAACAUGAGGUGGCGGGCGGAGCUAAUAAUUUUUCUAUUGAAGCGGAACACGAAUCUAUUUUGCAUCAGAAUCCCCCGGUUAGUCAUGAAAAGACGAUCGUCAGUUUAGAUUAACCUGCGGUGCGGAUCUCUUCAGCAUGGAUGGAUAGAUGCCAUACGGCCGCCAUUAAUAACCGGCCUUGAAAAUGACAACGAGGCGAAGCAGGAUUAGAGCUAGCCAGCAGCUGCUACCUUACAGAUAAGGAGCCCACGAUUCCUCUACUGGCAGACAAGCUUCUAAGUCUUUAGCCAACGGAUACGAAUUCGAAAGAAAGGUCAAUCUCCGAAGGGCCUUCGGAGAGCUGAGCUUGAGUUUAGGGGGGAAUACCGCUUUUGGUCUUGGCAAAAGUAAUUCCACAUUUUCAGGCUUUGGCUUAGGCUAGGCUUGAUUUACC
rnacentral:misc_RNA from 1 species